rnacentral:rRNA from 1 species
CCUACGGGUGGCAGCAGUGGGGAAUAUUGCGCAAUGGGCGAAAGCCUGACGCAGCGACGCCGCGUGAGGGAUGAAGGUCUUCGGAUCGUUAACCUCUGUCAGCAGGGAAGAACGGUCACUGUGCUAAUCAGCAGUGAAUUGACGGUACCUGCAAAGGAAGCACCGGCUAACUCCGUGCCAGCAGCCGCGUGAAUACGGAGGGUGCGAGCGUUAAUCGGAAUUACUGGGCGUAAAGCGCUCGUAGGCGGUAUGUCAAGUCAAGGGUGAAAUCCCCGCGCUCAACGUGGGAACUGCCUUUGAAACUGGCAAACUGGAGUGGGUGAGAGGAUAGUGGAAUUCGAGGUGUAGGAGUGAAAUCCGUAGAUAUCUGGAGGAACAUCAGUGGCGAAGGCGACUAUCUGGCACAUAACUGACGCUGAGGAGCGAAAGCGUGGGUAGCGAACAGGAUUAGAUACCCUUGUAGUC